rnacentral:misc_RNA from 1 species
GAUGAAGAACGUAGCGAAAUGCGAUAAGUAAUGUGAAUUGCAGAAUUCAGUGAAUCAUUGAAUCUUUGAACGCACCUUGCGCUCCUUGGUAUUCUGAGGAGCAUGCCUGUUUGAGUGUCAUUAAAUUCUCAACUACACUGACUUUGAAUUGGUGUGGCUUGGAUUUGGGGGGAAAAUUGUUGUGGGCUUUUUGUAUAGUCUGCUCCCCUGAAAUUGAUUAGCGGUACCUUUGUGGAACUGUCUACAGGUGUGAUAAUUAUCUACAUCUUAGACAUCUGCUGGAAUGCUGCUUUCUAAACCUUACUUGUAUUGACAAUCUUGACCUCAAAUCAGGUAGGACUACCCGCUGAACUUAAGCAUAUCAAUAAGCGGAGGA